UGGACUAUCAGUGAAUACAAAGUGAAUAUUCUAAGCAAAAAUAAAAAAGGAAGAUUAAUUGGAUUCUUUCCAUUUUGAUGAUGUUUUUUGGCCUGGAAUAAGUUAUACAUAAGAUAUUUAAUACAUGCCUCCCUGGGGAAGCUGAGGGUGAUAGCAAAGUGAAAAGAAAAAGGAGAUGGGUUCUAUUUUUCCGUAAUAAUGCUCUGAGACCAUUGCUGGUGAAGUACAGGGUGUGUGUCCACACAGGAUCUUACUUCUCUGCUGACUUUUAUCAAGGGCUACCGACUUUGCAUCCUUGCCCUUCUAUCAUCACCAUGACAGAAUGUCUGCAGAUUGCAGAUCUUCGUGGGAACAUUCUAGACCUUCUUCCUUGUGCCCAGAGUAGGAAGGAGCUGGCCUGCCAAGCCAGCAUGGCACCAAAUGUGCCCUUUCUGCCUAAUGGCCAAGGUGUUCAGGACAGGAGACCUUCCUAUCCCCAACCCAUGGUGUGGGGAGAUGCUUGCUCAUGGUGAAAGGUCGAUAUUUGAAAAUUGUGGCCACCCCAAAGGAUCUACCACUUUUGCUCUGGCGAGUGGUUCUACUCCUUGACUUUCUCUCUCCUAGUGAUACCAUAUACUCUGCUUUGAAGAGUUUGGAACUUGUCCUUGUGCCUUGAGGAGUAGAGACAAAUGGCGACACUUUGACAUUCUAACUCUAUACCAUGGUUUCCAUGCACCACCCAUAUCAGCUAUUUUCAAUGGCUUAAAAAGAUUUCGAAAGCUUGUUCAAUACUAUGAUAAAGGCACUGAGGUCUUCUCAACUACCCCAACACCUACUCCAGAGUUUUGAAUACUUGUCAGCAGUGCAAAAAAAAUAGUAUCUAUUUAACCACUUAUCUAUCUACAUGUCUAUCUAAAUACGUAACUUUUGUUUAUUGUCUUCUCUGUUAAGUAACUCGAGAGCAAAGUUUUCUCCAGUGUAUAAGAAGUUGUUUUGAUUUCAUUAGAGUCUGAUCUCAAGUUUCCACCUGCUGAAUGGUGCUUUGCCAAUAACUGGACAGAAAGAAUCCUUGUCAACAUCUGCUUCUAAUGUUCUGUUAUGAGUUAAAACAAAACAAAACAAAAAUUUGCCAAGCAAGCAACCUUAAAUUCUUUUCUUCUCGAGGUGGUAUAUACAUAAUUUUUGGAUAGUAAGAAAUUUUUGCUCUGGAUGGUAUGAUAAAUUCCUGCAAGUGGGGCUUGGGAAGCAUCUCAAUUUUUAAAGCAAUAGGAGUCCAGCAAUCAUCCUAAACAAUUACAAUAAUAUUUAGCUUGCUGUGUCUAAUUCUACUGUUCACUAUUAAGAGGUAGUCAGUGCAUUUUAUGAUGUUAGCAAAUGAGGGAUGGAUGCUCUCAACUGUAGUGAGCCUUUAUUUUUAGAGGUCUUCAUGUUAUCUAUUUCUAUUGUCAUGUUUAUGUAUGGAUUUUCAAUUAGGUGACUGAAACUUAAGCCUUAGUAUUGAGGGUUUAUAAUUGAAAAUGAAAAAAAAAAAAAAACCUCUAUAUAUUAUUGUCUAUUGUCAGAAUUUUAGUCUUUUGGUGCUCCAUUUUAAAUUGGGCACUUUAAAUAAGAUUAUUUCUUUCACCCCAAAGAGGUCAUAGAUUACACCCUUGGGAGUUGCUGUCCUGCCUUCUCUCCUCCAACCAGUAAGAUUCUGUACCGCAUUCUGGUCCCACCAUUCUGCCCUCUAUCACAGAUUAAGCUGCCAGAGCAUCAGAGAUCGUACCUCCCAACUUCUGUGUCUGUGAUUUGCAGAAAAGUGGAGAUGUGCUCACCCAGGAUAAGAAAAAUCUUGUUAAAUCCCAUCCCGACUCCUCCAUUAGAAAGAUAGGAUCAUGGUGGUUGGGCCACACCACUUUGCCACUGCCGUUGGGUGAAUCUAUUACUAAUGGACCCUCUCUGGGUCAUGUGCCUAGCUACUGAGGGAGGGCACCACUGUGUGCCCCACCCCAAGCAUGGAAGUAGAAGGACCCUGUGGAGCCUUCUAUAUUUUUUCUUCAUUUUUGGGGAGAUAGCCAGUCUUGCUUGAAGUCCAGUAUAAAAUUUAAAUUCAACUCAACAUUGUUAUUACAUAAUGAAACAUCCAGACCUGGUGUUAACCCAGGAAAUCAGAUACUGAAGGUUUAUCAGGGGUGGGGUCAUCCUCAGCCUGAUGGUACCAAGUCUACUGUUGAAGUAGCAGGCCCUGGCUGUGUCUUGAAGCUAACUGGUGCUUGAGGUCUUGGGAUCCAUAGAAGGUGAAGUUCAUAGUUGGAUCCUUUCUCCAUUGGCCCCUAAGCUUGCUCCAGCCUUCUUCCCCAGGACCCCAGACUCACCCCAGCAAUUCCAGUCCCUUAAUAUGCUGAGUGGAACAAGAAAGAGUCUGGAUGAAAGGGAAACAUCUACCCAUCCCUUUAAUAUGUGCCCCUCAUUUCCUGCUACAAUGAGCUCCCCCCAGAUGACAGGUAGACUGACCUAUCUUCAGUGCUGGGUAUCAUCUUCUACCACAUUCUGGCACUUUAUGUGGAGUACAAUUUCUUGUAUCAGAGUCCAAAAUCACUACAUGAUUAAAAUUCACUGCAUUUUCUUGUAUUUUAAAAAAUAAACAAUCAGAUGUUAUUAUUGAAGGGAUUAUUUUGAAAUCAAAUGUCCUUAGACAAUGAUUAAAUUCAGAAACAUUUCAUCCUUUUUUCUAAUCUGAAUUUGUUUUGAACAUAGCCUUGCAGAGAAGAAAAAAAAAAAGAGUACCCAGCUCUCAGAUUUCGGAUAUUUUAUACCAGUAGCCCCUUUGUUAAAUGGCAGAUACAAUAUAGCCAAUCAUUCUUACAUCAUCCAUUACUAGCUGAUCAUAAAUUAUUAGUAUUUUAGGGCAUGCAGCUAUGUGAUUGAUAUCUGCAAGGCUAAUUUAAUAGAUGUGGUACAAAUCACUGUUAGGAAUAUCUGUGCCAUAGUUCUGAUACCCUUAUUGGAAUCACGGCAGUGUGUUAUUUGUUCACAGUGGCACUUUAUUUGUUUGUUUUUAAACAAGAAAACCUCUGCCAGCAGUAAAAGAUUCUGUUAAGUGGUAUGAAACUUUGUGAAUGUUGAAAUUCAACAUGCUUCGUAUUAUAACCAACCUGCAAGAACAUUGUGGUCAAUCGUGUGAAUACCAAAUCAAUAUAUACUGUAUAUUGUAUUACAGAAAUUUGUAUUUAAAGGCAAAGAUACGAUGCUAUACCUGGGGAAAAGGGUAUUAGAUAUUUAUUAAGUAACAAUGAGAAAUGCAACAAACUUCCUUAUUUAUGCCUUAUGAACAAAAGAGUGUGAAAUAUGAGGUGGAGUUUUCUGUGCAAGACCCUACAGGAGUGGGUACCCUUGAAGGCAGGGACUGUGUCUUUUCUAUGUUUGUUCUGUACAGCUCUCAGCACACUCUUGGUGCUUGAUACAUGUUAUAUAAUACCAAUAACUAAGCACAUUUUUAGAUCUUUUUUCAAAUGGCUUGUGUAAAAUUUGGUUAAUGUACAAUGGUUGGUUUGAAGCUAUCAUGUAAAAUCUGCCUCUCCAAAUAUAAUCAAAAAUAAACUGA
rnacentral:lncRNA from 1 species